UACGAAGGGUGCUAGCGUUAUCCGGAAUUAUUGGGCGUAAAGGGGGCGUAGGCGGCAUGUUAAGUCAACUGUCUAAUUUCCCGGCCUAACUGGGAGUCGGCAGUAGAUACUGACAUGCUAGAGGAUGAGAGAGAGGAGUGGAAUUCUCGGAGUAGCGGUAAAAUGCGUAGAUCUCGAGAGGAACACCGAUGGCGAAAGCAGCUCCUUGGCUCACUCCUGACGCUGAGGCCCGAAAGCAUGGGGAGCAAACAGG
rnacentral:misc_RNA from 1 species